GAUUGAACGCUGGCGGCAGGCUUAACACAUGCAAGUCGAGCGGGGGAAGGUAGCUUGCUACCGGACCUAGCGGCGGACGGGUGAGUAAUGCUUAGGAAUCUGCCUAUUAGUGGGGGACAACAUCUCGAAAGGGAUGCUAAUACCGCAUACGUCCUACGGGAGAAAGCAGGGGAUCUUCGGACCUUGCGCUAAUAGAUGAGCCUAAGUCGGAUUAGCUAGUUGGUGGGGUAAAGGCCUACCAAGGCGACGAUCUGUAGCGGGUCUGAGAGGAUGAUCCGCCACACUGGGACUGAGACACGGCCCAGACUCCUACGGGAGGCAGCAGUGGGGAAUAUUGGACAAUGGGGGGAACCCUGAUCCAGCCAUGCCGCGUGUGUGAAGAAGGCCUUAUGGUUGUAAAGCACUUUAAGCGAGGAGGAGGCUACUUUAGUUAAUACCUAGAGAUAGUGGACGUUACUCGCAGAAUAAGCACCGGCUAACUCUGUGCCAGCAGCCGCGGUAAUACAGAGGGUGCGAGCGUUAAUCGGAUUUACUGGGCGUAAAGCGUGCGUAGGCGGCUUAUUAAGUCGGAUGUGAAAUCCCCGAGCUUAACUUGGGAAUUGCAUUCGAUACUGGUGAGCUAGAGUAUGGGAGAGGAUGGUAGAAUUCCAGGUGUAGCGGUGAAAUGCGUAGAGAUCUGGAGGAAUACCGAUGGCGAAGGCAGCCAUCUGGCCUAAUACUGACGCUGAGGUACGAAAGCAUGGGGAGCAAACAGGAUUAGAUACCCUGGUAGUCCAUGCCGUAAACGAUGUCUACUAGCCGUUGGAGCCUUUGAGGCUUUAGUGGCGCAGCUAACGCGAUAAGUAGACCGCCUGGGGAGUACGGUCGCAAGACUAAAACUCAAAUGAAUUGACGGGGGCCCGCACAAGCGGUGGAGCAUGUGGUUUAAUUCGAUGCAACGCGAAGAACCUUACCUGGCCUUGACAUACUAGAAACUUUCCAGAGAUGGAUUGGUGCCUUCGGGAAUCUAGAUACAGGUGCUGCAUGGCUGUCGUCAGCUCGUGUCGUGAGAUGUUGGGUUAAGUCCCGCAACGAGCGCAACCCUUUUCCUUACUUGCCAGCAUUUCGGAUGGGAACUUUAAGGAUACUGCCAGUGACAAACUGGAAGAAGGCGGGGACGACGUCAAGUCAUCAUGGCCCUUACUGCCAUGGCUACACACGUGCUACAAUGGUCGGUACAAAGGGUUGCUACACAGCGAUGUGAUGCUAAUCUCAAAAGCCGAUCGUAGUCCGGAUUGGAGUCUGCACUCGACUCCAUGAAUCGGAAUCGCUAGUAUCGCGGAUCAAAUGCCCGGUGAAUACGUUCCCGGGCUUGUCACACCGCCGUCCACCAUGGGAGUUUGUGCACAGAAGUACUAGCCUACUGCAAGAGGCGGUACCCCGUGUG
rnacentral:rRNA from 1 species